rnacentral:rRNA from 1 species
CCUACGGGUGGCUGCAGUGGGGAAUAUUGGACAAUGGGCGAAAGCCUGAUCCAGCCAUGCCGCGUGUGUGAAGAAGGCCUUCGGGUUGUAAAGCACUUUCAGUGGGGAAGAAAGCCUUGGGGCUAAUACCCUCGAGGAAGGACAUCACCCACAGAAGAAGCACCGGCUAACUCCGUGCCAGCAGCCGCGGUAAUACGGAGGGUGCGAGCGUUAAUCGGAAUUACUGGGCGUAAAGCGCGCGUAGGCGGUCUGAUAAGCCGGUUGUGAAAGCCCCGGGCUCAACCUGGGAACGGCAUCCGGAACUGUCAGGCUAGAGUGCAGGAGAGGAAGGUAGAAUUCCCGGUGUAGCGGUGAAAUGCGUAGAGAUCGGGAGGAAUACCAGUGGCGAAGGCGGCCUUCUGGACUGACACUGACGCUGAGGUGCGAAAGCGUGGGUAGCAAACAGGAUUAGAUACCCUGAGUAGUC